AUGGAGGCGACGGCGGUGAGCGUGGGCAAGGCCGUGCUCGAUGGCGCGCUCGGCUAUGCGAGCUCCAAGGCGGCGGAGGAAAUCGGGCUGCAGCUUGGCGUUGAGUCCGACGUGGACUUCAUCAGAGACGAGCUGCAGAUGAUGCAGUCGUUCCUGAUGACGGCUGAUGAGGAGCAGAGUCAGAACAAGGUGCUCGCAACCUGGGUGAAACAGAUCGGGGUUCUGGCCUACAAGGUGGAGGACAGCCUCAUGGAUUUCGGCCUCUACUCGGAGAAAAAGUCAUUCUUAGGGUGCAUCCCCCGCAACCCAAUGGAUCGACGCCGCAUUGCCAAGGAGGUGAAGGAGCUCAGGGCCAAGGUGGAGGACGUGAGCAACAGGAACCUGCGCUAUCGCCUCAUCAAGGAGAGCUCAGCCUCCAAGCCUUCAGCGACAGAGGAGCAGGCCAAAAUCGCCACUGAAGCAAUGUUUGGCAUGAACGAAGCAAGGCUUACUGCCUUGGACCACAGAAAAUCAUCAGAGGUGAACCUCCAACAGCUGAUUACCAGCAACGAUGUUGACCUUAGGGUGAUCGCCGUGUGGGGAACUAGCGGUAAUCGUGGGAAGACGCCUGCCAUCCAGGAAGUUUAUGAUGACCCAAUGGUGCUGAAAAGGUUUGGAUUCCGUGCUUGGAUUAGGUUGAUGCAUCCUUUCAAUCCACAAGAGUUCCUGCAGAGCUUGGUCAAGCAAUUCUAUGAAAGUUCCCAUGAUGAGGUUGGAAAGGCAGAACAAGUAACAAGUGUCGGGGCUAAUGUUCUGGCCAAGAUGGAGAAGAUGACUCAAAGUGAUUUAGUCCGUGUGUUUAAUGCACAGUUGUGUAGCAAUAGCUACCUUGUUGUCAUUAUUGACCUGUCCACAAUAGAAGAGUGGCAUUGCAUUAAGAAGUACUUUCCUGAAAACAAGAGACAAAGUAGAAUCAUCGUUUCCACACAGCAAGAUGAAAUUGCAUGCUUGUGCACAGAGAAACCGUAUCAGAUGUCCAAGUUCAGGCAGUUGUCAUAUGAUCAAACUAUUUAUUUGUUCCACAAGAAGACAUCACAGGAACAGAUCAGUUUAAUUGACAACAACGACAAAGCAAUGGUUGCUGCUGUGGACAAGGCGAAACUGAAGGUUAUUCAUGCAUCAUGUUCUGCUGCUGAGCCCAUUUCUGACUCAAACAAAGUUACUACUAGUGAGAAACACACAGCAGUGCCCGCCGGUGAAAUACUGGAGGAAGAUCAAAAACCUAACAAUGCAGAUGAAGACAAAAUUUGCAACUCAACUGCUAGAAAGAAGUUUGAUCGCAGCAGGACACUGGCACUGGCUGAUGAAGUGCUAUGUAAGCGAGAAACUGAGAAAACUAAUGUCAUCAAUUUAGUUGGCCAACCAGACAACAAUCGAGGCUGUAAGGUGGUUUCUGUUUGGGGAAUGGGUGGUCUUGGAAAAACCACCCUCGUCCGGAGCAUCUACCGAAGCCAAGAGCUUGGUGUCUGGAAGCGUGCUUGGGCCACUGCAUUGCGUCCUUUUAACCCUGAGGUACUCCUUAGAGAUUUGGCUCUGCAGCUUCAGAAUACUAUUGAUGAACAGCCUGCUAGAACGAAAGAAAAAGUUAGCCGGGAUGAAACUUGA
rnacentral:rRNA from 1 species